UGGUUCUGGCAUCGAUGAAGAACGCAGCGAAAUGCGAUAAGUAGUGUGAAUUGCAGAAUUCAGUGAAUCAUCGAAUCUUUGAACGCACAUUGCGCCCCUUGGUAUUCCGGGGGGCAUGCCUGUUCGAGCGUCAUUUAAACCCUCAAGCCCAGCUUGUUUAUGGGUGCUUGUCCCGCCUCUCGCGCGGCGACUCACCUCAAAAUCAGUGGCAGCCCGCACCCGCAGGCCGUGAGCGCAGCACAGAAGCGCCCAAGGCACCAGCAGGUCGGCUCUCCAGAAGCCCAUUUCCACUUUUGACCUCGGAUCAGGUAGGGAUACCCGCUGA
rnacentral:misc_RNA from 1 species